CUCUGAGCUAAGUGGGC
rnacentral:tRNA from 1 species